AGGGUUUGAUCAUGGCUCAGAACGUACGCUGGCGGCACGCCUAACACAUGCAAGUCGAACGAAGUAGCAAUACUUAGUGGCAGACGGGUGAGUAACAUGUAGGUAUCUACCCUUUGGCCUGGAAUAACACGAGGAAACUUGUGCUAAUACCGGAUAAGUCUUUACGGAGAAAGCUUUAUGCACCAUUGGAUGAGCCUGCACUUGAUUAGUUUGUUGGUAGGGUAAUGGCCUACCAAGACUUUGAUCAAUAGCUGAUUUGAGAGGAUGAUCAGCCACAUUGGGACUGAGACACGGCCCAAACUCCUACGGGAGGCAGCAGUGGGGAAUCUUGCACAAUGGAGGAAACUCUGAUGCAGCGAUGCCGCGUGAGUGAAGAAGGCCCUUGGGUUGUAAAGCUCUUUCGUCGGGGAAGAAAAUGACUGUACCCGAAUAAGAAGGUCCGGCUAACUUCGUGCCAGCAGCCGCGGUAAUACGAAGGGACCUAGCGUAGUUCGGAAUUACUGGGCUUAAAGAGUUCGUAGGUGGUUGAAAAAGUUGGUGGUGAAAUCCCAGAGCUUAACUCUGGAACUGCCAUCAAAACUUUUCAGCUAGAGUUUGAUAGAGGAAAGCAGAAUUUCUAGUGUAGAGGUGAAAUUCGUAGAUAUUAGAAAGAAUACCAAAUGCGAAGGCAGCUUUCUGGAUCAUUACUGACACUGAGGAACGAAAGCAUGGGUAGCGAAGAGGAUUAGAUACCCUCGUAGUCCAUGCCGUAAACGAUGUGUGUUAGACGUUGGAAAUUUAUUUUCAGUGUCGCAGCGAAAGCAAUAAACACACCGCCUGGGGAGUACGACCGCAAGGUUAAAACUCAAAUGAAUUGACGGGGACCCGCACAAGUAGUGGAGCAUGUGGUUUAAUUCGAAGAUACGCGCAGAACCUUACCAACACUUGACAUGUUCGUCGCGACUUUAAGAGAUUAAAGUUUUCGGUUCGGCCGGACGAAACACAGGUGCUGCAUGGCUGUCGUCAGCUCGUGUCGUGAGAUGUUGGGUUAAGUCCCGCAACGAGCGCAACCCUCACUUUUAGUUGCCAUCAUUAAGUUGGGCACUCUGAAAGAACUGCCAGUGAUAAGCUGGAGGAAGGUGGGGAUGACGUCAAGUCCUCAUGGCCCUUACGUGUUGGGCUACACACGUGCUACAAUGAUAUUUACAACAGGAAGCAAAACGGCGACGUUAAGCAAAUCCUUAAAAAAUAUCUCAGUUCGGAUUGCACUCUGCAACUCGAGUGCAUGAAGCUGGAAUUACUAGUAAUCGUGGAUCAGCGUGCCACGGUGAAUGCGUUCCCGGGUCUUGUACACACCGCCCGUCACACCAUGGGAGUUGGUUCUACCUUAAGGCAAGGUUUUAAACCCUUGACCACGGUAUAGUCAGCGACUGGGGUGAAGUCAUAACAAGGUAGCCGUA
rnacentral:rRNA from 1 species